rnacentral:rRNA from 1 species
GACGAACGCUGGCGGCGUGCCUAAUACAUGCAAGUCGAACGCAGUGGGGACGGGUGAGUAACCCGUGGGUAACCUCCCAUCAGAGGGGAUAACACUUGGACACAGGUGCUAAACCGAUACUGAUGGAUGCACCCGCGGUGCAUUAGCUAGUUGGUGGGGUCACGGCCAACCAAGGCCACUAUGCCUAGCCGGCCGGUGAGGGUGAUCGGCCCACCUGGGACGGAGACACGGCCCAGACCCCUACGGGAGGAAGCAGUGGGGAAUCUUCGGCAAUGGACGAAAGUCUGACCGAGCAACGCCGCGUGAGUGAAGAAGGUUUUCGGAUCGUAAAACUCUGUUGUUAGAGAAGCGGUAUCUAACCAGAAAGCCACGGCUAACUACGUGCCAGCAGCCGCGGUAAUAC